UGGCUCAGAUUGAACGCUGGCGGCAUGCUUUACACAUGCAAGUCGGACGGCAGCACAGAGAAGCUUGCUUCUUGGGUGGCGAGUGGCGAACGGGUGAGUAAUGUAUCGGAACGUACCGAGUAAUGGGGGAUAACUAAUCGAAAGAUUAGCUAAUACCGCAUAUUCUCUGAGGAGGAAAGCAGGGGACCUUCGGGCCUUGCGUUAUUCGAGCGGCCGAUAUCUGAUUAGCUAGUUGGUGGGGUAAAGGCUGACCAAGCCGACGAUCUCUAGCUGGUCUGAGAGGAUGACCAGCCACACUGGAACUGAGACACGGUCCAGACUCCUACGGGAGGCAGCAGUGGGGAAUAUUGCACAAUGGGGGGAACCCUGAUGCAGCCAUGCCGCGUGAAUGAAGAAGGCCUUCGGGUUGUAAAGUUCUUUCGGUGACGAGGAAGGUUGGUAUGUUAAUAGCAUAUCAAAUUGACGUUAAUCACAAAAGAAGCACCGGCUAACUCCGUGCCAGCAGCCGCGGUAAUACGGGGGGUGCGAGCGUUAAUCGGAAUAACUGGGCGUAAAGGGCACGCAGGCGGUGACUUAAGCAGGAUGUGAAAUCCCCGGGCUCAACCUGGGAACUGCGUUCUGAACUGGGUGACUAGAGUGUGUCAGAGGGAGGUAGAAUUCCACGUGUAGCAGUGAAAUGCGUAGAGAUGUGGAGGAAUACCGAUGGCGAAGGCAGCCUCCUGGAUACACUGACGUUCAUGCUCGAAAGCGUGGGUAGCAAACAGGAUUAGAUACCCU
rnacentral:rRNA from 1 species